rnacentral:misc_RNA from 1 species
GAAAUGCGAUAAGUAAUGUGAAUUACAGAAUUCAGUGAAUCAUCGAAUCUUUGAACGCACAUUGCGCCCGCCAGUAUUCUGGCGGGCAUGCCUGUUCGAGCGUCAUUUCAACCAUCAAGCCCCCGGCUUGUGUUGGGGACCUGCGGCUGCCCGCAGGCCCUGAAAAACAGUGGCGGGCUCGCUGUCACACCGAGCGUAGUAGCAUACAUUCUCGCUCAGGGCGUGCUGCGGGUUCCGGCCGUUAAACGACCUUCAUAACCCAAGGUUGACCUCGGAUCAGGUAGGAAGACCCGCUGAACUUAAGC